rnacentral:rRNA from 1 species
GUCUAUGGCCAUGCCACCCUGAACAAGCCCGAUCCCAUCUGAUCUUGGAAGCUAAGCAGGGUGGGGCCUGGUUAGUACUUGGAUAGGAGACCACCAGGAAGACCAGGUGCUGUAGGCA